UGAACGCUGGCGGUAGGCCUAACACAUGCAAGUCGAACGGCAGCACAGUAAGAGCUUGCUCUUACGGGUGGCGAGUGGCGGACGGGUGAGGAAUACAUCGGAAUCUACUUUUUCGUGGGGGAUAGCGUAGGGAAACUUACGCUAAUACCGCAUACGACCUACGGGUGAAAGCAGGGGAUCUUCGGACCUUGCGCGAUUGAAUGAGCCGAUGUCGGAUUAGCUAGUUGGCGGGGUAAAGGCCCACCAAGGCGACGAUCCGUAGCUGGUCUGAGAGGAUGAUCAGCCACACUGGAACUGAGACACGGUCCAGACUCCUACGGGAGGCAGCAGUGGGGAAUAUUGGACAAUGGGCGCAAGCCUGAUCCAGCCAUACCGCGUGGGUGAAGAAGGCCUUCGGGUUGUAAAGCCCUUUUGUUGGGAAAGAAAAGCAGCAGGUUAAUACCCCGCUGUUCUGACGGUACCCAAAGAAUAAGCACCGGCUAACUUCGUG
rnacentral:rRNA from 1 species